rnacentral:rRNA from 1 species
GAUGAACGCUGGCGGCGUGCCUAAUACAUGCAAGUCGAACGCUUCACUUCGGUGAAGAGUGGCGAACGAGUGAGUAAUACAUAAGUAACCUGGCAUCUACAGGGUGCUAACUGAUGGAAACGUCAGCUAAGACCGCAUAGGUGUAGAGAUCGCAUGACCUCUAUAUGAAAAUUGCUACGUGACUGGUAGAUGAUGGACUUAUGGCGCAUUAGCUUGUUGGUAGGGUAACGGCCUACCAAGGGGACGAUGCGUAGCCGACUUGAGAGGGUGACCGCCCACACGGGAACUGAGACACGGCCCAGACUCCUACGGGAGGCAGCGGAAGGGAAUUUUCGGCAAUGGGGGAAACCCUGACCGAGCAACGCCGCGUGAAGGAAGAAGUAAUUCGAUAUGUAAACUUCUGUCAUAGAGGAAGAACGGUGUGUAUAGGGAAUGAUAUCCAAGUGACGGUACUCUAUAAGAAAGCCACGGCUAACUACGUG